rnacentral:rRNA from 1 species
GCUGCAACUCGCCUGCAUGAAGUUGGAAUUGCUAGUAAUCGCGAAUCAGAAUGUCGCGGUGAAUACGUUCCCGGGCCUUGUACACACCGCCCGUCACACCAUGAGAGUCGAUAACACCCGAAGCCUGUGAGCUAACCGUAAGGAGGCAGCAGUCGAAGGUGGGGUUNAUGAUUGGGGUGAAGUCGUAACAAGGUAAC